rnacentral:lncRNA from 1 species
UUUGAGAGCUCUUUGCGUUUUGAAUAAGCUGAAGAGGUUUAUACAUAAGGGAAUCGAAGAAGUUAUCAUAUUCGUCAUAAGCACAGGAGUUGUAGGACCUUCAAAUUUCGUCUCUUAAGGAGAGACACACAAGUGGGAGAUUGCCGACAAAGCCCUACCGAGGAGGUUCAUGCGUUGUAAAACUGGGUCCCUGCAAAGAAGAUUACUUCCAAAAAAUAGUUUUAAUAUAAAAGGCGUGCUAACCGGACGCGAGUCAAAAGCGGGCAUCUGGGGGAAGCCCCAAGGAAUGGAGGAAAAGACGCAUCUGUAGCUUCGUCCAUCGCCGACGCGCGCUGGCGGACCUCCCGGAGGCCUUGUGUCCAGUGAAGUUAGUACGGCCUGGCCGAGUUCUUUUUGAAUAAG